rnacentral:lncRNA from 1 species
GUAUGAUUUGAAAUACUUGCACACAAACCGCUCGAAAGCGUUCCUGGAAAUCUCAGCCCAAAAAAGGACGUUUAGUAAUUCUAAAAGGGACUACAGGAUGAAAAACAAUAGUUUUGGCAGUUAAAGUUUGAGAUUCGAUGGUGCCGUAGAUCCGUUUGGUCAUCAGGUGUAACGAGCCACACACAUGUCUAGCUAGAGUAGUGUGCUAGGCUCAGACUAGAGAAGAAACGGGGAACAAAGUGAUGAAAGAAUGAUCAUACCGAGGGAAUUCACUCAGAACUUACAAGAAUGAUAACGUGCUCCGACUGGAGCGCUUUAGUAACUGCUGGAAGGCUCUAGGCGAAUAAAGAUGGAAUGACUUCUAAUUUUUAGGUCCGUAUGAUUUGAAAUACUUGCACACAAACCACGCAAAACCGUUCCUAGAAAUCUCGGUCGAAAAAAGGACGUUUAGUAAUUCUAAAAGGGACUACAGGAUGAAAAACAAUAGUUUUGGCAGUUAAAGUUUGAGAUUCGAUGGUGCCGUAGAUCCGUUUGGUCAUCAGGUGUUACGAGCCACACCCAUGUCUAGCUAGAGUAGUGUGCUAGGUUCAGACUAGAGAAGAAACGGGGAACAAAGUGAUUAAAGAAUGAUCAUACCGAGGGAAUUCACUCAGAACUAACAAGAAUGAUAACGUGCUCCGACUGGAGCGGUUUAGGAACUGCUGGAAGGCUCUAGGGGAAUAAAGAUGGAAUGACUUCUAAUUUUUACGUCCGUAUGAUUUGAAAUACAUGCACACAAACCACGCAAAAGCGUUCCUGGAAAUCUCAGCCUAAAAAAGGACGUUUAGUAAUUCUAAAAGGGACUACAGGAUGAAAAAUAAUAGUUUGGGCAGUUAAAAUUUGAGAUUCGACGCUGCCGUAGAUCCGUUUGGUCAUCAGGUCUUACGAGCCACACCCAUGUCUAGCUAGAAUAGUGUGUUAGGCUCAGGCUAGAGAAGAAACGGGGAACAAACUGAUGAAAGAAUGAUCAUACCGAGGGAAUUCACUCAGAACUAACAAGAAUGAUAACGUGCUCCGACUGGAGCAGUUUAGAAACUCCUGGAAGGCUCUAGGGGAAUAAAGAUGGAAUGACUUCAAAGUUUUAGGUCCGUAUGAUUUGAAAUACUUGCACACAAACCGCGUGAAAGCGUUCCUGGAAAUCUCAACCCAAAAAAGGGCGUUUAGUAAUUCUAAAAGGGACUACAGGAUGUAAAACAAUAGUUUUGGCAGUUAAAGUUUGAGAUUCGAUGGUGCCGUAGAUCCGUUUGGUCAUCAGGUGUAACGAGCCACACCCAUGUCUAGCUAGAGUAGUGUGCUAGGCUCAGACUAGAGAAGAAACGGGGAACAAAGUGAUGAAAGAAUGAUCAUACCGAGGGAAUUCACUCAUAACUAACAAGAAUGAUAACGUGCUCUGACUUGAGCGGUUUAGGAACUGCUGGAAGGCUAUAGGGGAAUAAAGAUGGAAUGACUUCAAAUUUUUAGGUCCGUAUGAUCUGAAAUACUUGCACACAAACCGCGAGAAAGCGUUCCUGGAAAUCUCAACCCAAAAAAGGACGUUUAGUAAUUCUAAAAGGGACUACAGGAUGAAAAACAAUAGUUCUGGCAGUUAUUGUUUGAGAUUCGAUAAUCUCGUAGAUCCGUUUGGUCAUCAGGUGUAACGAGCCACACCCAUGUCUAGCUAGAGUAGUGUGCUAGGCUCAGACUAGAGAAGAAACGGGGAACAAACUGAUGAAAGAAUGAUCAUACCGAGGGAAUUCACUUAGAACUAACAAGAAUGAUAACGUGCUCCGACUGGAGCGGUUUAGGAACUGCUGGAAGGCUCUAGGGGAAUAAAGAAGGAACGACUUCUAAUUUUUAGGUCCGUAUGAUUUGAAAUAUGUGCACACAAACCACGAGAAAGCGUUCCUAGAAAUCUCGGCCCAAAAGAGGACGUUUAGUAUUCUAAAAGGGACUACAGAAUGAAAAACAAUAGUUUUGGCAGUUAAAGUUUGAGAUUUGACGGUGCCGUAGAUCUGUUUGGUCAUCAGGGGUUACGAGCCACACCCAUGUCUAGCUAGAAUAGUGUGUUAGGCUCAGGCUAGAAAAGAAACGGGGAACAAAGUGAUGAAAGAAUGAUCAUACCGAGGGAAUUCACUCAGAACUAACAAGAAUGAUAACAUGCUCCGACUGGAGCGGUUUAGGAACUGCUGGAAGGCUCUAGGGGAAUAAAGAUGGAAUGACUUCUAAUUUUUAGGUCCGUAUGAUUUGAAAUACUUGCACACAAACCGCGCGAAAGCGUUCCUGGAAAUCUCAGCCCAAAAAAGGACGUUUAGUAAUUCUAAAAGGGACUACAGGAUGAAAAACAAUAGUUUUGGCAGUUAAAGUAUGAGAUUCAACGGUGCCGUAGAUCCGUUUGGUCAUUAGGUGUUACGAGCCACACCCAUGUCUAGCUAGAAUAGUGUGCUAGGCUCAGGCUAGAGAAGAAACGGGGAACAAACUGAUGAAAGAAUGAUCAAACCGAGGGAAUUCACUCAGAACUAACAAUAAUGAUAACGUGCUCCGACUGGAGCGGUUUAGGAACUGCUGGAAGUCUCUAGGGGAAUAAAGAUGGAAUGACUUCUAAUUUUUACGUUCGUAUGAUUUGAAAAACUUGCCCAUAAACCGCGCGAAAGUGUUCCUGGAAAUCUCAGCCCAAAAAAGGACGUUUAGUAAUUUUAAAAGGGACUACACGAUGAAAAACAAUAGUUUUGGCAGGUAAAGUUUGAGAUUCGACAGUGCCGUAGAUCCGUUUGGUCAUCAGGUGUUACGAGCCACACCCAUGUCUAGCUAGAAUAGUAUGUUACGCUCAGGUUAGAGAAGAAACGGGGAACAAACUGAUGAAAGAUGAUCAUACCAAGGGAAUUCACUCAGAACUAACAAGAAUGAUAACGUGCUCCGACUGGAGCGGUUUAGGAACUGCUGGAAGGCUCUAGGGGAAUAAAGAUGGAAUGACUUCUAAUUUUUACGUCUGUAUGAUUUGAAAUACUUGCACACAAACAACGCAAAAGCAUUCCUGGAAAUCUCAUCCUAAAAAAGGACGUUUAGUAAUUCUAAAAGGGACUACAGGAUGAAAAAUAAUAGUUUGGGAAGUUAAAAUUUGAGAUUCGAUAGUGCCGUAGAUCCGUUUGGUCAUCAGGUGUUAGGAGCCACACCCAUGUCUAGCUAGAAUAGUGUGUUAGGCUCAGGCUAGAGAAGAAACAGGGAACAAACUGAUGAAAGAAUGAUCAUACCGAGGGAAUUCACUCAGAACUAGCAAGAAUGAUAACGUGCUCCGACUGGAGCAGUUUUGAAACUGCUGGAAGGCUCUAGGGGAAUAAUGAUGGAAUGACUUCUAAGUUUUUGGUCCGUAUGAUUUGAAAUACGUGCACACAAACCCAGAGAAAGUGUUCUUGGAAAUCUCGGCCGAAAAAAGGAUGUUUAAUAAUUCUAAAAGGGACUACAGGAUGAAAAACAAUAGUUUUGGCAGUUAAAGUUUGUGAUUCGAUGGUGCUGUAGAUCUGUUUGGUCAUCAGGUGUUAUGAGCCACACCCAUGUCUAGCUAGAACAGUGUGUUAGGCUCAGGCUAGAGCAGAAACGGGGAACAAACUUAUGAAAGAAUGAUCAUACCGAGGGAAUUCACUCAGAACUAACAAGAAUGAUAACGUGCUCCGACUGGAGAGGUUUAGGAACUGCUGGAAGGCUCUAGGGGAAUAAAGAUGGAAUGACUUCAAAUUUUUAGGUCUGUAUGAUCUGAAAUACUUGCACACAAACCGCGAGAAAGCGUUCCUGGAAAUCUCAGCCCAAAAAAGGACGUUUAGUGAUUCUAAAAGGGACUACGGGAUAAAAAACAAUAGUUUUGGCAGUUAAAGUUUGAGAUUCGAUAAUGCCGUAGAUCCGUUUGGUCAUCAGGUGUAACGAGCCACACCCAUGUCUAGCUAGAGUAGUGUGCUAGGCUCAUACUAGAGAAGAAAUGGGGAACAAACUGAUGAAAGAAUGAUCAUACCGAGGGAGUUCACUCAAAACUAACAUGAAUGAUAACGUGCUCCGACUGGAGCGGUUUAGGAACUGCUGGAAGGCUCUAGGGGAAUAAAGAUGGAAUGACUUCUAAUUUUUAGGUCCGUAUGAUUUGAAAUACAUGCACACAAACCCCAAGAAAGCGUUCCUGGAAAUCUCGCCCCGAAAAACGACGUUUAGUAAUUCUAAAAGGGACUAUAGGAUGAAAAACAAUAGUUUUGGCAGUUAAAGUUUGAGAUUUGACGGUGCCGUAGAUCUGUUUGGUCAUCAGGUGUUACGAGCCACACCCAUUUCUAGCUAGAAUAGUGUGUUAGGCUCAGGCUAGAAAAGAAACGGGGAACAAAGUGAUGAAAGAAUGAUCAUACCGAGGGAAUUCACUCAGAACUAACAAGAAUGAUAACAUGGUCCGACUGGAGCGGUUUAGGAACUGCUGGAAGGCUCUAGGGGAAUAAAGAUGGAAUGACUUCUAACUUUUAGGUCCGUAUGAUUUGAAUUACUUGCACACAAACCGCGCGAAAGCGUUCCUGGAAAUCUCAGCCCAAAAAAGGACGUUUAGUAAUUCUAAAAGGGACUACAGGAUGAAAAACAAUAGUUUUGGCAGUUAAAGUUUGAGAUUCGACGGUGCCGUAGAUCCGUUUGGUCAGCAGGUGUUACGAGCCACACCCAUGUCUAGCUAGAGUAGUGUGCUAGGUUCAGACUAGAGAAGAAAUGUUGGGGAACGUAGCAGAAAUUCAAAAUUUUCCUACGUGUCACCAAGAUCUAUCUAUGGAGAGACUAGCAACGAGGGAAGGAGAGUGCAUCUACAUACCCUUGUAGAUCGCUAAGCGGAAGCGUUCAAGUGAACGGGGUUGAUGGAGUCGUACUCGUCGUGAUUCAGCUCACCGAUGAUCCUAGUGCCGAACGGACGGCACCUCCGCGUUCAACACACGUACAGCUCGACGAUGUCUCCCACGCCUUGAUCCAGCAAGGAGAGAGGGAGAGGUUGAGGAAGACUCCAUCCAGCAGAAGCACAACGGCGUGGUGGUGAUGGAGGAGCAUGGCAAUCCUGCAGGGCUUCGCCAAGCACCUAUGGGAGAGGAGGAGGUGUCACGGGAGGGAGGGAGGCGCCAAGGGCUCAGGUAUAGAUGCCCUCCCUCCCCUCCACUAUAUAUAGGGGCAAGGGAGAGGGGGGAGGCGCAGCCUUGCCCCUUCCUCCAAGGAAGGGGUGCGGCUAAGAGGGGGGGAGGAGUCCAUCCUCCCCAAGGCACCUCGGAGGUGCCUUCCCCCUUUAGGACUCUCCCCUUUUUCCUAUAUCUUGGCGCAUGGGCCUCUAGGGGCUGGUUCCCUUGGCCCAUGUAGGCCCAGGCGCACCCCCUACAGCCCAUGUGGCCCCCCGGGGCAGGUGGCCCCACCUGGUGGGCCCCCGGGACCCUUCCGGUGGUCCCGGUACAAUACCGAUGACCCCGAAACUUGUCCCGAUGGCCGAAACAGGACUUCCUAUAUAUAAAUCUUUACCUCCGGACAAUUCCGGAACUCCUCGUGACGUCCGGGAUCUCAUCCGGGACUCCGAACAACAUUCGGUAACCACAUACAAACUUCCUUUAUAACCCUAGCGUCAUCGAACCUUAAGUGUGUAGACCCUACGGGUUCGGGAGACAUGUAGUCAUGACCGAGAUGUUCUCCGGUCAAUAACCAACAGCGGGAUCUGGAUACCCAUGUUGGCUCCCACAUGUUCCACGAUGAUCUCAUCGGAUGAACCACGAUGUCAAGGACUCAAUCAAUCCCGUAUACAAUUCCCUUUGUCUAGCGGUAUGGUACUUGCCCGAGAUUCGAUCGUCGGUAUACCGAUACCUUGUUCAAUCUCGUUACCGGCAAGUCUCUUUACUCAUUUCGUAACACAUCAUCCCGUGAUCAACCCCUUGGUCACAUUGUGCACAUUAUGAUGAUGUCCUACCGAGUGGGCCCAGAGAUACCUCUCCGUUUACACGGAGUGACAAAAUCCCAAUCUCGAUUCGUGCCAACCCAACAGACACUUUCAGAGAUACCCGUAGUGUACCUUUACAGCCACCCAGUUACGUUGUGACGUUUGGCACACCCAAAGCACUCCUACAGUAUCCGGGAGUUGCACAAUCUCAUGGUCUAAGGAAAUGAUACUUGACAUUAGAAAAGCUUUAGCAUACGAACUACAUGAUCUUGUGCUAGGCUUAGGAUUGGGUCUUGUCCAUCACAUCAUUCUCCUAAUGAUGUGAUCCCGUUAUCAACGACAUCCAAUGUCCAUGGUCAGGAAACCGUAACCAUCUAUUGAUUAACGAGCUAGUCAACUAGAGGCUUACUAGGGACAUGGUGUUGUCUAUGUAUCCACACAUGUAUCUAAGUUUCCUAUCAAUACAAUUCUAGCAUGGAUAAUAAACGAUUAUCAUGAACAAGGAAAUAUAAUAAUAAUCAAUUUAUUAUUGCCUCUAGGGCAUAUUUCCAACAGUCUCCCACUUGCACUAGAGUCAAUAAUCUAGUUCACAUCGAUAUGUGAUUAACACUCAAGGUCACAUUCCCAUGUGACUAACACCCAAGAGUUUACUAGAGUCAAUAAUCUAGUUCACAUUUACCAUGUGAUUAACACUUGAUGAGUUCUGGGUUUGAUCAUGUUAUGCUUGUGAGAGAGGUUAUAGUCAACGGGUCUGAACCUUUCAGAUCCGUGUGUGCUUUACAAAUCUCUAUGUCAUCUCCUAGAUGCAGCUACCACGUUCUAUUUGGAGCUAUUCCAAAUAACUGUUCUACUUGGAGCUAUUCUAAAUUGUUGCUCCAUUAUACGUAUCCGGUAUCUCUACUCAGAGCUAUCCGGAUAGGUGUUAAGCUUGCAUCGACGUAACCCUUUACGACGAACUCUUUUACCACCUCCAUAAUUGAGAAAAUUCCUUAGUCCACUAGUUACUAAGGAUAACUUUGACCGCUGUCCUGUGAUCCAUUCUUGGAUCACUCUUGUACCCCUUGACUGACUCAUGGUAAAGCACACUUCAGGUGCGGUACACAGCAUAGCAUACUGUAGAGCCUAUGUCUUAAGCAUAGGGGACGACCUUCGUUCCUUUCUCUCUAUUCUGCCAUGGUCGAGCUUUAAGUCUUAACUUCAUACCUUACAACUCAGGCAAGAACUCCUUCUUUGACUGAUCCAUCUUGAACACCUUCAAGAUCACGUCAAGGCAUGUGCUCACGUCAAGAUCACGUCGGUAUACCGAUACCUUGUUCAAUCUCGUUACCGGCAAGUCUCUUUACUCGUUCCGUAACACAUCAUCCCGUGAUCAACCCCUUGGUCACAUUGUGCACAUUAUGAUGAUGUCCUACCGAGUGGGCCCAGAGAUACCUCUCCGUUUACACGGAGUGACAAAAUCCCAAUCUCGAUUCGUGCCAACCCAACAGACACUUUCAGAGAUACCCGUAGUGUACCUUUAUAGCCACCCAGUUACGUUGUGACGUUUGGCACACCCAAAGCACUCCUACGGUAUCCGGGAGUUGCACAAUCUCAUGGUCUAAGGAAAUGAUACUUGACAUUAGAAAAGCUUUAGCAUACGAACUACAUGAUCUUGUGCUAGGCUUAGGAUUGGGUCUUGUCCAUCACAUCAUUCUCCUAAUGAUGUGAUCCCGUUAUCAACGACAUCCAAUGUCCAUGGUCAGGAAACCGUAACCAUCUAUUGAUUAACGAGCCAGUCAACUAGAGGCUUACUAGGGACAUGGUGUUGUCUAUGUAUCCACACAUGUAUCUGAGUUUCCUAUCAAUACAAUUCUAGCAUGGAUAAUAAACGAUUAUCAUGAACAAGGAAAUAUAAUAAUAAUCAAUUUAUUAUUGCCUCUAGGGCAUAUUUCCAACAGUCUCCCACUUGCACUAGAGUCAAUAAUCUAGUUCACAUCACCAUGUGAUUAACACUGACAGGUCACAUCACCAUGUGACCAACAUCCAAAGAGUCUUGGGUUUGAUCAUGUUGCUUGUGAGAGAGGUUAUAGUCAACGGGUCUGAACCUUUCAGAUCCGUGUGUGCUUUACAAAUCUCUAUGUCAUCUCCUAGAUGCAGCUACCACGUUCUAUUUGGAGCUAUUCCAAAUAACUGUUCUACUUGGAGCUAUUCUAAAUUGUUGCUCCAUUAUACGUAUCCGGUAUCUCUACUCAGAGCUAUCCGGAUAGGUGUUAAGCUUGCAUCGACGUAACCCUUUACGACGAACUCUUUUACCACCUCCAUAAUUGAGAAAAUUCCUUAGUCCACUAGUUACUAAGGAUAACUUUGACCGCUGUCCUGCGAUCCAUUCUUGGAUCACCCUUGUACCCCUUGACUGACUCAUGGUAAAGCACACUUCAGGUGCGGUACACAGCAUAGCAUACUGUAGAGCCUAUGUCUUAAGCAUAGGGGAUGACCUUCGUUCCUUUCUCUCUAUUCUGCCAUGGUCGAGCUUUAAGUCUUAACUUCAUACCUUACAACUCAGGCAAGAACUCCUUCUUUGACUGGUCCAUCUUGAACACCUUCAAGAUCAUGUCAAGGUAUGUGCUCAUUUGAAAGUACUAUUAAGCGUUUUGAUCUAUCCUUAUAGAUCUUGAUGCUCAAUGUUCAAGUAGCUUAAUCCAGGUUUUCCAUUGAAAACACUUUCCAAAUAACCCUAUAUGCUUUCCAGAAAUUCUACGUCAUUUCUGAUCAUUAAUAUGUCAACAACAUAUAAUCAUCAGAAAUUCUAUAGUGCUCCCACUCACUUCUUUGGAAAUACAAGUUUCUCAUAAACUUUGUAUACACCCAAAAUCUUUGAUCAUCAUCAAAGCAUACAUUCCAACUCCGAGAUGCUCACUCCAGUCCUCAGAAGGAUUGCUGGAGCUUUGCAUACUUAUUAGCAUAUUUCAGGAUAGACAAAACCUUCCAGUUGUAUCACAUACAACCUUUCCUCAAGAAUCGUCGACGAAACAAUGUUUUGACAUCCUAUCUGCAAGAUUUCAUAAAUAAUGCAGUAAUUGUUAAUAUAAUUCCAACAGACUCUUAGCAUCGCUACGAGUGAGAAAGUCUCAUUGUAGUCAACUCCUUGAACUUGUCAAAAAACAUCUUAACGACAAGUCGAGCUUUCUCAAUGGUGACACUUACCAUCAUUGUCUGUCUUCCUUUCAAAAUCCAUAUGUACCUAACAGCCUUACGACCAUCAAGUAGUUCUUCCAAAGUCUACACUUUGUUUUCAUACAUGGAUCCUCUCUCGGGUUUUAUGGCCAUGAGCCAUUUAUCGGAAUCCGGGCCCACCAUUGCUUCUCCAUAGCUCGUAGGUUCAUUGUUGUCUAGCAACAUGACUUCCAAGACAGGAUUACUGUACCACUCUGAAGUAGUACGUAUCCUUGUCACCCUACGAGGUUUGGGAGUGACUUGAUCUGAAGUUUCAUGAUCACUAUCAUAAGCUUCUACUUCAAUUGGUGUAGGUGCCACAGGAACAACUUCCUGUGCCCUGCUACACACUGGUUGAAGUGAUGGUUCAAUAACCUCAUCAAGUCUCCACCAUCCUCCCACUCAAUUCUUUCGAGAGAAACCUUUCCUCGAGAAAGGACCCAAUUCUAGAAACAAUUCAUAUUGCUUUCGGAUCUGAAUUAGGAAGUAUACCCAACUGUUUUGGGUGUCCUAUGAAGAUGUACUUUAUCCGCUUUGGUUUCGAGCUUAAUCCUGAAACUUUUUCACAUAAGUGUCGCAGCCCCAAACCUUUAAGAAACGACAACUUAGGUUUCUCUAAACCAUAAUUCAUACGGUGUCAUCUCAUCGGAAUUACGUGGUGCCCUAUUUAAAGUGAAUGUGGUUGUCUUUAAUGCCUAACCCAUAAACUAUCGUGGCAGUUCGAUAAGAGACAUCAUGGUAUGCAUCAUAUCCAAUAGGGUGCAACUAUGAUGUUCGGACACACCAUCACACUAUGGUGUUCCAGGCGGUAUUAAUUGUGAAACAAUUUCCACAAUGUCUUAAUUGUGUGCCAAAACUCGUAACUCAGAUACUCAUCUCUAUGAUCAUAUCAUAGACAUUUUAUCCUCUUGUCACAAUGAUCUUCUACUUCACUCUGAAAUUACUUGAACCAUUCAACAAUUCAGACUUGUGUUUCAUCAAGUAAAUAUUCUCAACAUCUACUCGAAUCAUCUGUGAAGUAAGAACAUAACGAUAUUCACUGCAUGCCUCAGCACUCAUUGGACUGCACACAUCAAAAUGUGUUACUUCCAACAAGUUGCUAUCUUGUUCCAUCUUACUGAAAACGAGGCUUUUCAGUCAUCUUGCCCAUGUGGUAUGAUUUGCAUGUCCCAAGUGAUUCAAAAAUCAAGUGAGUCAAAACGGUCCAUUUGCAUGGAGUUUCUUCAUGCAUAUACACCAAUAGACAUGGUUCGCAUGUCUCAAACUUUUCAAAAACGAGUGAGCCCAAAGAUCCAUCAAUAUGGAGCUUCUUCAUGCGUUUUAUACCGAUAUGACUUACGUGGUAGUGCCACAAGUAGGUGGUACUAUCAUUACUAUCUUUUGGCAUGAACAUGUGUAUCACUACGAUCGAGAUUUAAUAAACCAUUCAUUUUAGGUGUAAGACCAUUGAAGGUAUUAUUCAAAUAAACAGAGUAACCAUUAUUCUCCUUAAAUGAAUAACCGUAUUGCGAUAGACGUAAUCCAAUCAUGUCUAUGCUCAACGCAAACACCAAAUAACAAUUAUUUAGGUUUAACACCAAUCUCUUUGGUAGAGGGAGCGUGCGAUGCUUGAUCAUAUCAAGCAUGGAAAAACUUACAACACAUAUCGUCAGCUCACCUUUAGCUAGUCUCUGUUUAUUCCGUAGCCUUUUGUUUCGAGUUACUAACACUUAGCAACCGAACUGGUAUCUAAUACCCUGGUGCUACUAGGAGUACUAGCAAAGUACACAUUAACACAAUGUAUAUCCAAUAUACUUCUAUCGACCUUGCCAGCCUUCUUAUCUACCAAGUAUCUAGGGUAAUUCUGCUCUAGUAGUUGUUCCCCUUAUUACAGAAGCACUUAGUCUCGGGUUUGGGUUUUACCUUGGGUUUCUUCACUAGAGCAGCAGCUGAUUUGCCGUUUCAUGAAGUAUCCCUUCUUGCCCUUGCCCUUCUUGAAACUAGUGGUUCCACCAACCAUCAACAAUUGAUGCUCCUUCUUGAUUUCUACUUUCGCGGUGUCAAACAUCGCGAAUACCUCAAGGAUCAUCAUAUCUAUCCCUGAUAUGUUAUAGUUCAUCAUGAAGCUCUAACAGCUUGGUGGCAAUGACUUUGGAGAACCAUCACUAUCUCAUCUGGAAGAUCAACUCCCACUCGAUUCAAGCGAUUGUUGUACUCAGACAAUCUGAGCACAAGCUCAACGAUUGAGCUUUUCUCCCUUAGUUUGCAGGUUAAGAAAGUCAUCGGAGGUCUUAUACCUCUUGACAUGGGCACGAGCCUGAAAUCCCAAUUUCAGCCCUCAAAACAUCUCAUAUGUUUCGCGAUGUUUCAAAAACGUCUUUGGUGCCUCAACUCUAAACCGUUUAACUGAACUAUCACGUAGUUAUCAAAACGUGUAUGUCAGAUGUUCGCAACAACCACAGACAACGUUCGAGGUUCAGCACACUGAGCGGUGCAUUAAGGACAUAAGCCUUCUAUGAAGCAAUGAGGACAAUCCUCAGUUUACGGACCUAGUCCGCAUAAUUGCUACUAUCAACUUUCAACUAAUUUUUCUCUAGGAACAUAUCUAAACAGUAGAACUAUAGCGUGAGCUACGACAUAAUUUGCAAAAACCUUUUGACUAUGUUCAGGAUAAUUAAGUUCAUCUUAUGAACUCCCACUCAGAUAGACAUCCCUCUAGUCAUCUAAGUGAUUACAUGAUCCGAGUCAAACUAGGCCGUGUCCGAUCAUCACGUGAGACGGACUAGUCAUCAUCGGUGAACAUCUUCAUGUUGAUCGUAUCUUCUAUACGACUCAUGUUCGACCUUUCGGUCUUCGUGUUCCGAGGCCAUGUAUGUACAUGCUAGGCUCGUCAAGUUAACCCUAAGUGUUUCGCGUGUGUAAAUCUGUCUUACACCCGUUGUAUGUGAACGUUAGAAUCUAACACCCGAUCAUCACGUGGUGCUUCGAAACACGAACUGUCGCAACGGUGCACAGUUAGGGGAGAACACUUCUUGAAAUUGUUGUAAGGGAUCAUCUUAUUUACUACCGUCGUUCUAAGCAAAUAAGAUGUAUAAACAUGAUAAACAUCACAUGCAAUCAAAUAGUGACAUGAUAUGGCCAUCAUCACUUUGCUCCUUUUGAUCUCCAUCUUCGGGGCUCCAUGAUCAUCAUCGUCACCGGCAUGACACCAUGAUCUCCAUCAUCAUGAUCUCCAUCAUCGUGUCUUCAUGAAGUUGCCUCGCCAACUAUUACUUCUACUACUAUGGCUAACGGUUAGCAAUAAAGUAAAGUAAUUACAUGACGUUUAAGUUGACACGCAGGUCACAAAUGAAUAAAGACAACUCCUAUGGCUCCUGCCGGUUGUCAUACUCAUCGACAUGCAAGUCGUGAUUCCUAUUACAAGAACAUGAUCAAUCUCAUACAUCACAUAUAUCAUUCAUCACAUCCUUUUUGGCCAUAUCACAUCACAUAGCAUACCCUGCAAAAACAAGUUAGACGUCCUCUAAUUGUUGUUUGCAUGUUUUACGUGGCUGCUAUGGGUUUCUAGCAAGAACGUUUCUUACCUACGCAUGAACAACAACGUGAUAUGCCAAUUGCUAUUUACCCUUCAUAAGGACCCUUUUCAUCGAAUCCGAUCCGACUAAAGUGGGAGAGACAGACACCCGCCAGCCACCUUAUGCAACUAGUGCAUGUUUGUCGGUGGAACCGGUCUCACGUAAGCGUACGUGUAAGGUUGGUCCGGGCCGCUUCAUCCCACGAUGCCGCCGAAUCAAGAUAAGACUAGUAACGGCAAGCAUAUUGAACAAUAUCAACGCCCACAACUACUUUGUGUUCUACUCGUGCAAAGAAUCUACGCAAUAGACCUAGCUCAUGAUGCCACUGUUGGGGAACGUAGCAGAAAUUCAAAAUUUUCCUACGUGUCACCAAGAUCUAUCUAUGGAGAUACUAGCAACGAGGGAAGGAGAGUGCAUCUACAUACCCUUGUAGAUCGCUAAGCGGAAGCGUUCAAGUGAACGGGGUUGAUGGAGUCGUACUCGUCGUGAUUCAGAUCACCGAUGAUCCUAGUGCCGAACGGACGGCACCUCCGCGUUCAACACACGUACAGCUCGACGAUGUCUCCCACGCCUUGAUCCAGCAAGGAGAGAGGGAGAGGUUGAGGAAGACUCCAUCCAGCAGCAGCACAACGGCGUGGUGGUGAUGGAGGAGCGUGGCAAUCCUGCAGGGCUUCGCCAAGCACCUACGGGAGAGGAGGAGGUGUCACGGGAGGGAGGGAGGCGCCAAGGGCUCAGGUAUAGAUGCCCUCCCUCCCCUCCACUAUAUAUAGGGGCAAGGGAGAGGGGGAGGCGCAUCCUUGCCCCUUCCUCCAAGGAAGGGGUGCGGCUAAGAGGGGGGGAGGAGUCCAUCCUCCCCAAGGCACCUCGGAGGUGCCUUCCCCCUUUAGGACUCUCCCCUUUUUCCUAUAUCUUGGCGCAUGGGCCUCUAGGGGCUGGUGCCCUUGGCCCAUGUAGGCCAAGGCGCACCCCCCUACAGCCCAUGUGGCCCCCCGGGGCAGGUGGCCCCACCCGGUGGGCCCCCGGGACCCUUCCGGUGGUCCCGGUACAAUACCGAUGACCCCGAAACUUGUCCCGAUGGCCGAAACAGGACUUCCUAUAUAUAAAUCUUUACCUCCGGACCAUUCCGGAACUCCUCGUGACGUCCGGGAUCUCAUCCGGGACUCCGAACAACAUUCGGUAACCACAUACAAACUUCCUUUAUAACCCUAGCGUCAUCGAACCUUAAGUGUGUAGACCCUACGGGUUCGGGAGACAUGUAGUCAUGACCGAGAUGUUCUCCGGUCAAUAACCAACAGCGGGAUCUGGAUACCCAUGUUGGCUCGCACAUGUUCCACGAUGAUCUCAUCGGAUGAACCACGAUGUCAAGGACUCAAUCAAUCCCGUAUACAAUUCCCUUUGUCUAGCGGUAUGGUACUUGCCCGAGAUUCGAUCGUCGGUAUACCGAUACCUUGUUCAAUCUCGUUACCGGCAAGCCUCUUUACUCGUUCCGUAACACAUCAUCCCGUGAUCAACCCCUUGGUCACAUUGUGCACAUUAUGAUGAUGUCCUACCGAGUGGGCCCAGAGAUACCUCUCCGUUUACACGGAGUGACAAAAUCCCAAUCUCGAUUCGUGCCAACCCAACAGACACUUUCAGAGAUACCCGUAGUGUACCUUUAUAGCCACCCAGUUACGUUGUGACGUUUGGCACACCCAAAGCACUCCUACGGUAUCCGGGAGUUGCACAAUCUCAUGGUCUAAGGAAAUGAUACUUGACAUUAGAAAAGCUUUAGCAUACGAACUACAUGAUCUUGUGCUAGGCUUAGNNNNNNNNNNUGAUCAACCCCUUGGUCACAUUGUGCACAUUAUGAUGAUGUCCUACCGAGUGGGCCCAGAGAUACCUCUCCGUUUACACGGAGUGACAAAAUCCCAAUCUCGAUUCGUGCCAACCCAACAGACAUUUUCAGAGAUACCCGUAGUGUACCUUUAUAGCCACCCAGUUACGUUGUGACGUUUGGCACACCCAAAGCACUCCUACGGUAUCCGGGAGUUGCACAAUCUCAUGGUCUAAGGAAAUGAUACUUGACAUUAGAAAAGCUUUAGCAUACGAACUACAUGAUCUUGUGCUAGGCUUAGGAUUGGGUCUUGUCCAUCACAUCAUUCUCCUAAUGAUGUGAUCCCGUUAUCAACGACAUCCAAUGUCCAUGGUCAGGAAACCGUAACCAUCUAUUGAUUAACGAGCUAGUCAACUAGAGGCUUACUAGGGACAUGGUGUUGUCUAUGUAUCCACACAUGUAUCUGAGUUUCCUAUCAAUACAAUUCUAGCAUGGAUAAUAAACGAUUAUCAUGAACAAGGAAAUAUAAUAAUAAUCAAUUUAUUAUUGCCUCUAGGGCAUAUUUCCAACAAGAAACGGGGAACAAACUGAUGAAAGAAUGAUCAUACCGAGGGAAUUCACUCAGAACUAACAAGAAUGAUAACGUGCUUUGACUGGAGCGGUUUAAAAACUGCUGGAAGGCUCUAGGGGAAUAAAGAUGGAAUGCCUUCAAAUUUCUAGGUCCGUAUGAUUUGAAAUACUUGCACACAAACCGCGCGAAAGCGUUCCUGGAAAUCUCAGCCCAAAAAAGGACGUUUAGUAAUUCUAAAAGGGACUACAGAAUGAAAAACAAUAGUUUUGGCAGUUAAAGUUUGAGAUUCGAUGGUGCCGUAGAUCCGUUUGGUCAUCAGGUGUAACGAGCCACACCCAUGUCUAGCUAGAGUAGUGUGCUAGGCUCAGGCUAGAGAAGAAACGGGGAACAAACUGAUGAAAGAAUGAUCAUACCGAGGGAAUUCACUCAGAACUAACAAGAAUGAUAACGUGCUCCGACUGGAGCGGUUUAGGAACUGCUGGAAGGCUCUAGGGGAAGAAAGAAGGAAUGACUUCUAAUUUUUAGGUCCGUAUGAUUUGAAAUACGUGCACACAAACCGCGCGAAAGCGUUCCUGGAAAUCUCAGCCCAAAAAAGGACGUUUAGUAUUCUAAAAGGGACUACAGAAUGAAAAACAAUAGUUUUGGCAGUUAAAGUUUGAGAUUCGACGGUGCCGUAGAUCCGUUUGGUCAUCAGGUGUUACGAGCCACACCCAUGUCUAGCUAGAAUAGUGUGCNNNNNNNNNNNNNNNNNNNNNNNNNCGUAUGAUUUGAAAUACGUGCACACAAACCGCGCGAAAGCGUUCCUGGAAAUCUCAGCCCAAAAAAGGACGUUUAGUAUUCUAAAAGGGACUACAGAAUGAAAAACAAUAGUUUUGGCAGUUAAAGUUUGAGAUUCGACGGUGCUGUAGAUCCGUUUGGUCAUCAGGUGUUACGAGCCACACCCAUGUCUAGCUAGAAUAGUGUGCUAGGCUCAGGCUAGAGAAGAAAAGGGGAACAAACUAAUGAAAGAAUGAUCAAUACGAGGGAAUUCACUCAGAACUAACAAUAAUGAUAACGUGCUCCGACUGGAGCGGUUUAGGAACUGCUGGAAGGCUCUAGGCGAAUAAAGAUGGAAUGACUUCUAAUUUUUACGUCCGUAUGAUUUGAAAUACUUGCACACAAACCACGCAAAAGCGUUCCUGGAAAUCUCGGCCUAAAAAGGACGUUUAGUAAUUCUAAAAGGGACUACAGGAUGAAAAAUAAUAGUUUGGGCAGUUAAAAUUUGAGAUUCGACGGUGCCGUAGAUCCGUUUGGUCAUCAGGUGUUACGAGCCACACCCAUGUCUAGCUAGAAUAGUGUGUUAGGCUCAGGCUAGAGAAGAAACGAGGAACAAACUGAUGAAAGAAUGAUCAUACCAAGGGAAUUCACUCAGAACUAACAAGAAUGAUAACGUGCUCCGACUGGAGCAGUUUAGAAACUGCUGGAAGGCUCUAGGGGAAUAAAGAUGGAAUGACUUCUGAUUUUUAGGUCCGUAUGAUUUGAAAUACGUGCACACAAACCCCGCGAAAGCGUUCCUGGAAAUCUCAGCCCAAAAAAGGACGUUUAGUAAUUCUAAAAGGGACUACAACAUGAAAAACAAUAGUUUUGGCAGUUAAAGUUUGAGAUUUCAUGGUGCCGUAGAUCUGUUUGGUCAUCAGGUGUUACGAGCCACACCCAUGUCUAGCUAGAAUAGUGUGUUAGGCUCAGGCUAGAAAAGAAACGGGAAACAAAGUGAUGAAAGAAUGACCAUACCGAGGGAAUUCACUCAGAACUAACAAGAAUGAUAACAUGCUCCGACUUGAGCGGUUUAGGAACUGCUGGAAGGCUCUAGGGGAAUAAAGAUGGAAUGACUUCUAAUGUUUAGGUCCGUAUGAUUUGAAAUACUUGCACAUAAACCGCACAAAAGCGUUCCUGGAAAUCUCAGCCCAAAAAAGGACGUUUAGUAAUUCUAAAAGGGACUACAGGAUGAAAAACAAUAGUUUUGGCAGUUAAAGUUUGAGAUUCGACGGUGCCGUAGAUCCGUUUGGUCAUCAGGUGUUACGAGCCACACCCAUGUCUAGCUAGAAUAGUGUGUUAGGCUCAGGCUAGAGAAGAAACUUGGAACAAACUGAUGAAAGAAUGAUCAAACCAACGGAAUUCACUCAGAACUAACAAUAAUGAUAACGUGCUCCGACUGGAGCAGUUUAGGAACUGCUGGAAGGCUCUAGGGGAAUAAAGAUGGAAUGACUUCUAAUUUUUAGGUCCGUAUGAUUUGAAAUACUUGCACGCAAACCGCGCGAAAGCGUUCCUGGAAAUAUCAGCCCAAAAAAGGACGUUUAGUAAUUCUAAAAGGGACUACAGGAUGAAAACAAUAGUUUUGGCAGUUAAAGUUUGAGAUUCAACAGUGCCGUAGAUCCGUUUGGUCAUCAGGUGUUAUGAGCCAUACCCAUGUCUAGCUAGAGUAGUGUGCUAGGCUCAGGCUAGAGAAGAAACAGGGAACAAACUGAUGAAAGAAUGAUCAUACCGAGGGAAUUCACUCAGAACUAACAAGAAUGAUAACGUGCUCCGACUGGAGCGGUUUAGGAACUGCUGGAAGGCUCUAGGGGAAUAAAGAUGGAGUGACUUCUAAAUUUUUAGGUCCGUAUGAUUUAAAAUACUUGCACACAAACCGCACGAAAGCGUUCCUUGAAAUCUCAGCCCAAAAAAGGACGUUUAGUAAGUCUAAAAGGGACUAUAGGAUGAAAAACAAUAGUUUUGGCAGUUAAAGUUUGAGAUUCGAUGGUGCCGUAGAUCUGUUUGGUCAUCAGGUGUUACGAGCCACACCCAUGUCUAGUUGGAAUAGUGUGCUAGGCUCAGACUAGAGAAGAAACAGGGAACAAACUGAUGAAAGAAUGAUCAAACCGAGGAAAUUCACUCAGAACUAACAAUAAUGAUAACAUGCUCCGACUGGAGCGGUUUAGGAACUGCUGGAAGGCUCUAGGGGAAUAAAGAUGGAAUGACUUCUAAAUUUUUAGGUCCGUAUGAUUUGAAAUAGUUGCACACAAACUGCGCGAAAGCGUUCCUGGAAAUCUCAGCCCAAAAAAGGACGUUUAGUAAUUCUAAAAGGGACUAUAGGAUGAAAAACAAUAGUUUUGGCAGUUAAAGUUUGAGAUUCGACGGUGCCGUAGAUCCGUUUGGUCAUCACGUGUUACAAGCCACACCCAUGUCUAGCUAGAGUAGUGUGCUAGGCUCAGACUAUAGAAGAAACGGGGACCAAACUGAUGAAAGAAUGAUCAAACCGAGGAAAUUCACUCAGAACUAACAAUAAUGAUAACAUGCUCCGACUGGAGCGGUUUAGGAACUACUGGAAGGCUCUAGGGGAAUAAAGAUGGAAUGACUUCUAAAUUUUUAGGUCCGUAUGAUUUUAAAUAGUUGCACACAAACUGCGCGAAAGCGUUCCUGGAAAUCUCAGCCCAAAAAAGGACGUUUAGUAAUUCUAAAAGGGACUACAGGAUGAAAAACAAUAGUUUGGGCAGUUAAAAUUUGAGAUUCGACGGUGCCGUAGAUCCGUUUGGUCAUCAGGUGUUACGAGCCACACCCAUGUCUAGCUAGAGUAGUGUGCUAGGCUCAGGCUAGAGAAGAAACAGGGAACAAACUGAUGAAAGAAUGAUCAUACCGAGGGAAUUCACUCAGAACUAACAAGAAUGAUAACGUGCUCUGACUGGAGCGGUUUAAGAACUGUUGGAAGGCUCUAGGGGAAUAAAGAUGGAAUCACUUCAAAUUUUUACGUCCGUGUGAUUUGAAAUACUUGCACACAAACCGCACGAAAGCGUUCCUGGAAAUCUCAGCCCAAAAAAGGACGUUUAGUAAGUCUAAAAGGGACUACACGAUGAAAAACAAUAGUUUUGGCAGUUAAAGUUUGAGAUUCGACAGUGCCGUAGAUCCGUUUGGUCAUCAGGUGUAACGAGCCACACCCAUGUCUAGAUAGAGUAGUGUGCUAGGCUCAAACUAGAGAAGAAACGGGGAACAAACUGAUGAAAGAAUGAUCAUACCGAGGGAAUUCACUCAGAAAUAACAAGAAUGAUAACGUGCUCUGACUGGAGCGGUUUAGGAACUGCUGGAAGGCUCUAGGGGAAUAAAGAAGGAAUGACUUCUAAUUUUUAGGUCCGUAUGAUUUGAAAUACGUGCACACAAACCCCGAGAAAGCGUUCCUGGAAAUCUCGACCCAAAAAAGGACGUUUAGUAAUUCUAAAAGGGACUACGGGAUGAAAAACAAUAGUUUUGGCAGUUAAAGUUUGAGAUUCGAUAAUGCCGUAGAUCCAUUUGGUCAUCAGGUGUAACGAGCCACACCCAUGUCUAGCUAGAGUAGUGUGCUAGGCUCAGACUAGAGAAGAAACAGGGAACAAACUGAUGAAAGAAUGAUCAUAUCGAGGGAAUUCACUCAGAACUAACAAGAAUGAUAACAUGCUCCGACUUGAGCGGUUUAGGAACUGCUGGAAGGCUCUAGGGGAAUAAAGAUGGAAUGACUUCUAAUUUUUAGGUCCGUAUGAUUUGAAAUACUUACACACAAACCACGCGAAAGCGUUCCUGGAAAUCUCAGCCCAAAAAAGGACGUUUAGUAAUUCUAAAAGGGACUACAUGAUGAAAAACAAUAGUUUUCGCAGUUAAAGUUUGAGAUUCGACGGUGCCGUAGAUCCGUUUGGUCAUCAAGUGUUACGAGCCACACCCAUGUCUAGCUAGAAUAGUGUGUUAGGCUCAGCCUAGAGAAGAAACGGGGAACAAACUGAUGAAAGAAUGAUCAUACCGAGGGAAUUCACUCAGAACUUACAAGAAUGAUAACGUGCUCCGACUUGAGCGGUUUAAGAACUGUUGGAAGGCUCUAGGGGAAUAAAGAUGGAAUCACUUCAAAUUUUUACGUCCGUGUGAUUUGAAAUACUUGCACACAAACCCCGAGAAAGCGUUCCUGGAAAUCUCGGCCGAAAAAAGGAUGUUUAAUAAUUCUAAAAGGGACUACAGGAUGAAAAACAAUAGCUUUGGCAGUUAAAGUUUGUGAUUCGAUGGUGCCGUAGAUCUGUUUGGUCAUCAGGUGUUAUGAGCCACACCCAUGUCUAGCUAGAAUAGUGUGUUAGGCUCAGGCUAGAGCAGAAACUAGGAACAAACUUAUGAAAGAAUGAUCAUACCGAGGGAAUUCACUCAGAACUAACAAGAAUGAUAACGUGCUCCGACUGGAGCGGUUUAGGAACUGCUGGAAGGCUCUAGGGGAAUAAAGAUGGAAUGACUUCUAAUUUUUAGGUCCGUAUGAUUUGAAAUACAUGCACACAAACCCCAAGAAAGCGUUCCUAGAAAUCUCAGCCCAAAAAGGACGUUUAGUAAUUCUAAAAGGGACUACAGGAUGAAAAACAAUAGGUUUGGCAGUUAAAGUUUGAGAUUCGAUAAUGCCGUAGAUCCGUUUGGUCAUCAGGUGUAACGAGCCACACCCAUGUCUAGCUACAUUAGUGUGCUAGGCUCAGACUAGAGAAGAAACGGGGAACAAACUGAUGAAAGAAUGAUCAUACCGAGGGAAUUCACUCAGAACUAACAAGAACGAUAACAUGCUCCGACUGCAGCGGUUUAGGAACUGCUGGAAGGCUCUAGGGGAAUAAAGAAGGAAUGACUUCUAAUUUUUAGGUCCGUAUGAUUUGAAAUACUUGCACACAAACCGCGCGAAAGCAUUCCUGGAAAUCUCAGCCCAAAAAAGGACGUUUAGUAAUUCUAAAAGGGACUACAGGAUGAAAAACAAUAAUUUUGGCAGUUAAAGUUUGAGAUUCGACGGUGCCGUAGAUCCGUUUGGUCAUCAGGUGUUACGGGCCAUACCCAUGUCUAGCUAGAAUAGUGUGUUAGGCUCAGGUUAGAGAAGAAACGGGGAACAAAGUGAUGAAAGAAUGAUCAUACCGAGGGAAUUCACUCAGAACUAACAAGAAUGAUAACGUGCUCCGACUGGAGCGGUUUAGGAAUUGCUGGAAGGCUCUAGGGGAAUAAAGAUGGAAUGACUUCUAUAUUUUACGUCCGUAUGAUUUGAAAUACUUGCACACAAACCACGCAAAAGCACUCCUGGAAAUAUCAGCCUAAAAAGGAUGUUUAGUAAUUCUAAAAGGGACUACAGGAUGAAAAAUAAUAGUUUUGGCAGUUAAAAUUUGAGAUUCAACGGUGCCGUAAAUCCGUUUGGUCAUCAGGUGUUACGAGCCACACCCAUGUCUAGCUAGAAUAGUGUGUUAGGCUCAGGUUAGAGAAGAAACGGGGAACAAACUGAUGAAAGAAUGAUCAUACAAGGGGAAUUCACUCAGAACUAUCAAGAAUGAUAACGUGCUCCGACUGGAGCAGUUUAGGAACUGCCGGAAGGCUCUAGGGGAAUAAAGAUGGAAUGACUUCUAAUUUUUAUGUCCGUAUGAUUUGAAAUACUUGCACACAAACCACGCAAAAGCGUUCCUGGAAAUCUCAGCCUAAAAAGGACGUUUAGUAAUUCUAAAAGGGACUACAGGAUGAAAAACAAUAGUUUGGGCAGUUAAAAUUCGAGAUUCGACGGUGCCGUAGAUCCGUUUGGUCAUCAGGUGUUACGAGCCACACCCAUGUCUAGCUAGAAUAGUGUGUUAGGCUCAGGCUAGAGAAGAAACGGGGAACAAACUGAUGAAAGAAUGAUCAUAUCGAGGGAAUUCACUCAGAACUAACAAGAAUGAUAACGUGCUCCGACUGGAGCGGUUUAGUAACUGCUGGAAGGCUCUAGGGGAAUAAAGAUGGAAUGACUUCUAAUUAUUAGGUCCGUAAGAUUUGAAUUACAUGCACACAAACCCCGAGAAAGCGUUCCUGGAAAUCUCGGUCGAAAAAAGGAUGUUUAGUAAUUCUAAAAGGGACUACAGGAUGAAAAACAAUAGUUUUGGCAGUUAAAGUUUGUGAUUCGAUGGUGCCGUAGAUCUGUUUGGUCAUCAGGUGUUACGAGCCACACCCAUGUCUAGCUAGAAUAGUGUGUUAGGCUCAGGCUAGAGCAGAAACGGGGAACAAACUUAUGAAAGAAUGAUCAUGCCGAGGGAAUUCACUCAGAACUAACAAGAAUGAUAACGUGCUCCGACUGGAGCGGUUUAGGAACUGCUGGAAGGCUCUAGGGGAAUAAAGAUGGAAUGACAUCAAAUUUUUAGGUCCGUAUGAUUUGAAAUACUUGCACACAAACCGCAAGAAAGCGUUCUUGGAAAUCUCCGCCCAAAAAAGGACGUUUAGUAAUUCUAAAAGGGUCUACAGGAUGAAAAACAAUAGUUCUGGCAGUUAAAGUUUGAGAUUCGAUAAUGUCGUAGAUCCGUUUGGUCAUCAGGCGUAACGAGCCACACCCAUUUCUAGCUAGAGUAGUGUGCUAGGCUCAGACUAGAGAAGAAACGGGGAACAACCUGAUGAAAGAAUGAUCAUACCGAGGGAAUUCACUCAGAACUAACAAGAAUGAUAACGUGCUCCGACUGGAGCGGUUUAGGAACUGCUGGAAGGCUCUACGGGAAUAAAGAAGGAAUGACUUCUAAUUUUUAGGUCCGUAUGAUUUGAAAUACGUGCACACAAACCCCGAGAAAGCGUUCCUGGAAAUCUCGGCCCAAAAAAGGACGUUUAGUAUUCUAAAAGCGACUACAGAAUGAAAAACAAUAGUUUUGGUAGUUAAAGUUUGAGAUUUAACGGUGCCGUAGAUCUGUUUGGUCAUCAGGUGUUACGAGCCACACCCAUGUCUAGCUAGAAUAGUGUGUUAGGCUCAGGCUAGAUAAGAAACAGGGAACAAAGUGAUGAAAGAAUGAUCAUACCAAGGGAAUUCACUCAGAACUAACAAGAACGAUAACAUGCUCCGACUGGAGUGGUUUAGGAACUGCUGGAAGGCUCUAGGGGAAUAAAGAUGGAAUGACUUCUAAUUUUUAGGUCUGUAUGAUUUGAAAUACUUGCACACAAACCGCACGAAAGCGUUCCUGGAAAUCUCAUCCCAAAAAAGGACGUUUAGUAAUUCUAAAAGGGACUACAGGAUGAAAAACAAUAGUUUUGGCAGUUAAAGUUUGAGAUUCGAUAAUGCUGUAGAUCCGUUUGGUCAUCAGGUGUAACGAGCCACACCCAUGUCUAGCUAGAGUAGUGUGCUAGGCUCAGACUAGAGAAGAAACGGGGAACAAACUGAUGAAAGAAUGAUCAUACCGAGGGAAUUCACUCAGAACUAACAAUAAUGAUAACGUGCUCCGACUGGAGCGGUUUAGGAACUGCUGGAAGGCUCUAGGGGAAUAAAGAUGGAAUGAGUUCUAAUUUUUAGGUCUGUAUGAUUUGAAAUACUUGCACACAAACCGCGUGAAAGCAUUCCUGGAAAUUUCAGCCCAAAAAAGGACGUUUAGUAAUUUUAAAAGGGACUACACGAUGAAAAACAAUAGUUUUGGCAGUUAAAGUUUGAGAUUCGACGGUGCCGUAGAUCCGUUUGGUCAUCAGGUGUUACGAGCCACACCCAUGUCUAGCUAGAAUAGUAUGUUAGGCUCGGGUAAGAGAAGAAACGGGGAACAAACUGAUGAAAGAAUGAUCAUACCAAGGGAAUUCACUCAGAACUAACAAGAAUGAUAACGUGCUCCGACUGGAGCGGUUUAGGAACUGCUGGAAGGCUCUAGGGGAAUAAAGAUGGAAUGACUUCUAAUUUUUACGUUCGUAUGAUUUGAAAUACUUGCACACAAACCACGCAAAAGCGUUCCUGGAAAUCUCAUCCUAAAAAAGGACGUUUAGUAAUUCUAAAAGGGACUACAGGAUGAAAAAUAAUAGUUUGGGCAGUUAAAAUUUGAGAUUCGACGGUGCCGUAGAUCCGUUUGGUCAUCAGGUGUUACGAGCCACACCCAUGUCUAGCUAGAAUAGUGUGUUAGGCUCAGGCUAGAGAAGAAACGGGGAACAAACUGAUGAAAGAAUGAUCAUAUCGAGGGAAUUCACUCAGAACUAACAAGAAUGAUAACGUGCUCCGACUGGAGCAGUUUAGAAACUGCUGGAAGGCUCUAGGGGAAUAAAGAUGGAAUGACUUCUAAUUUUUAGGUCUGUAUGAUUUGAAAUACGUGCACACGAACCCCGAGAAAGCGUUCCUGGAAAUCUCGGCCCAAAAAAGGACGUUUAGUAAUUCUAAAAGGGACUACAGGAUGAAAAACAAUAGUUUUGGCAGUUAAAGUUUGAGAUUCGACGGUGCCGUAGAUCCGUUUGUUCAUCAGGUGUUACGAGCCACACCCAUGUCUAGCUAGAAUAGUGUGUUAGGCUCAGGCUAGAGAAGAAACGGGGAACAAACUGAUGAAAGAAUGAUCAUACCGAGGGAAUUCACUCAGAACUAACAAGAAUGAUAACGUGCUCCGACUGGAGCGGUUUAGGAACUGCUAGAAGGCUCUAGGGGAAUAAAGAAGGAAUGACUUCUAAUUUUUAGGUCCGUAUGAUUUGAAAUACGUGCACACAAACCCCGAGAAAGCGUUCCUGGAAAUCUUGGCCCAAAAAAGGACGUUUAGUAUUCUAAAAGCGACUACAGAAUGAAAAACAAUAGUUUUGCUAGUUAAAGUUUGAGAUUUGAUGGUGCCGUAGAUCUGUUUGGUCAUCAGGUUUUACGAGCCACACCCAUGUCUAGCUAGAAUAGUGUGUUAGGCUCAGGCUAGAAAAGAAACAGGGAAUAAAGUGAUGAAAGAAUGAUCAUACCAAGGGAAUUCACUCAGAACUAACAAGAACGAUAACAUGCUCCGACUGGAGUGGUUUAGAACUGCUGGAAGGCUAAAGGGGAAUAAAGAUGGAAUGACUUCUAAUUUUUAGGUCCGUAUGAUUUGAAAUACUUGCACACAAACCGCACGAAAGUGUUCCUGGAAAUCUCAGCCCAAAAAAGGACGUUUAGUAAUUCUAAAAGGGACUACAGGAUGAAAAACAAUAGUUUUGGCAGUUAAAGUUUGAGAUUCGAUAAUGACGUAGAUCCGUUUGGUCAUCAGGUGUAACGAGCCACACCCAUGUCUAGCUAGAGUAGUGUGCUAGGCUCAGACUAGAGAAGAAACGGGGAACAAACUGAUGAAAGAAUGAUCAUACCGAGGGAAUUCACUCAGAACUAACAAUAAUGAUAACGUGCUCCGACUAGAGCGGUUUAGGAACUGCUGGAAGGCUCUAGGGGAAUAAAGAUGGAAUGACUUCUAAUUUUUAGGUCCCUAUGAUUUGAAAUACUUGCACACAAACCGCGUGAAAGCAUUCCUGGAAAUUUCAGCCCAAAAAAGGACGUUUAGUAAUUUUAAAAGGGACUACACGAUGAAAAAGAAUAGUUUUGGCAGUUAAAGUUUGAGAUUCGACGGUGCCGUAGAUCCGUUUGGUCAUCAGGUGUUACGAGACACACCCAUGUCUAGCUAGAAUAGUAUGUUAGGCUCGGGUUAGAGAAGAAACGGGGAACAAACUGAUGAAAGAAUGAUCAUACCAAGGGAAUUCACUCAGAACUAACAAGAAUGAUAACGUGCUCCGACUGGAGCGGUUUAGGAACUGCUGGAAGGCUCUAGGGGAAUAAAGAUGGAAUGACUUCUAAUUUUUACGUUCGUAUGAUUUGAAAUACUUGCAAACAAACCACGCAAAAGCGUUCCUGGAAAUUUCAUCCUAAAAAAGGACGUUUAGUAAUUCUAAAAGGGACUACAGGAUGAAAAAUAAUAGUUUGGGCAGUUAAAAUUUGAGAUUCGAUGGUGCCGUAGAUCCGUUUGGUCAUCAGGUGUUACGAGCCACACCCAUGUCUAGCUAGAAUAGUGUGUUAGGCUCAGGCUAGAGAAGAAACGGGGAACAAACUGAUGAAAGAAUGAUCAUAUCGAGGGAAUUCACUCAGAACUAACAAGAAUGAUAACGUGCUCCGACUGGAGCAGUUUAGAAACUGCUGGAAGGCUCUAGGGGAAUAAAGAUGGAAUGACUUCUAAUUUUUAGGUCUGUAUGAUUUGAAAUACGUGCACACAAACCCCGAGAAAGCGUUCCUGGAAAUCUCGUCCGGAAAAAGGAUGUUUAAUAAUUCUAAAAGGGACUACAGGAUGAAAAACAAUAGUUUUGGCAGUUAAAGUUUGUGAUUCGAUGGUGCCGUAGAUCUGUUUGGUCAUCAGGUGUUACGGGCCACACCCAUGUCUAGCUAGAAUAGUGUGUUAGGCUCAGGCUAGAGCAGAAACGGGGAGCAAACUUAUGAAAGAAUGAUCAUAGCGAGGGAAUUUACUCAGAACUAACAAGAAUGAUAACGUGCUCCGACUGGAGCGGUUUAGGAACUGCUGGAAGGCUCUAGGGGAAUAAAGAUGGAAUGACUUCAAAUUUUCAGGUAUGUAUGAUCUGAAAUACUUGCACACAAACCGCGAGAAAGCGUUCCUGGAAAUCUCAACCCAAAAAAGGAUGUUUAGUAAUUCUAAAAGGGACUACAGGAUUAAAAACAAUAGUUUUGGCAGUUAAAGUUUGAGAUUCGAUAAUGUCGUAGAUCCGUUUGGUCAUCAGGUGUAACGAGCCACACCCAUGUCUAGCUAGAGUAGUGUGCUAGGCUCAUACUAGAGAAGAAACGGGGAACAAACUGAUGAAAGAAUGAUCAUACCGAGGGAAUUCACUCAGAACUAACAAGAAUGAUAACGUGCUCCGACUGGAGCGGUUUAGGAACUGCUGGAAGGCUCUAGGGGAAUAAAGAUGGAAUGACUUCUUAUUUUUAGGUCCGUAUGAUUUGAAAUACAUGCACACAAACCCCAAGAAAGCGUUCCGGGAAAUCUCGGCCCAAAGAAUGAUGUUUAGUAAUUCUAAAAGGGACUAUAGAAUGAAAAACAAUAGUUUUGGCAGUUAAAGUUUGAGAUUUGACGGUGUCGUAGAUCUGUUUGGUCAUCAGGUGUUACGAGCCACACCCAUUUCUAGCUAGAAUAGUGUGUUAGGCUCAGGCUAGAAAAGAAACGGGGAACAAAGUGAUGAAAGAAUGAUCAUACCGAGGGAAUUCACUCAGAACUAACAAGAAUGAUAACAUGCUCCGACUAGAGCGGUUUAGGAACUGCUGGAAGGCUCUAGGGGAAUAAAUAUGGAAUGACUUCUAAUUUUCAGGUCCGUAUGAUUUGAAAUACUUGCACACAAACCGCGCGAAAGCGUUCCUGGAAAUCUCAUCCCAAAGAAGGUCGUUUAGUAAUUCUAAAAGGGACUACAGGAUGAAAAACAAUAGUUUUGGCAAUUUAAGGUUUGAGAUUCGACGGUGCCGUAGAUCCGUUUGGUCAUCAGGUGUUACGAGCCACACCCAUGUCUAGCUAGAAUAGUGUGCUAGGCUCAGGCUAGAGAAGAAACAGGGAACAAACUGAUGAAAGAAUGAUCAAACCGAGGGAAUUCACUCAGAACUAACAAUAAUGAUAACGUUCUCCGUCUGGAGCGGUUUAGGAACUGCUGGAAGGCUCUAGGGGAAUAAAGAUGGAAUGACUUCUAAUUUUUAGGUCCGUAUGAUUUGAAAUACUUGCACACAAACCGCGCCAAAUCGUUCCUGGAAAUCUCAGCCCAAAAAAGGACGUUUAGUAAUUCUAAAAGGGACUACAGGAUGAAAAACAAUAGUUUUGGCAGUUAAAGUUUGAGAUUCGAUGGUGCCGUAGACCCGUUUGGUCAUCAGGUGUUACGAGCCACACCCAUGUCUAGCUAGAGUAGUGUGCUAGGUUCAGACUAGAGAAGAAACAGGGAACAAAGUGAUGAAAGAAUGAUCAUACCGAGGGAAUUCACUCAGAACUAACAAGAAUGAUAACGUGCUCCGACUGGAGCGGUUUAGGAACUGCUGGAAGGCUCUAGGGGAAUAAAGAUGGAAUGACUUCUAAUUUUUACGUCCGUAUGAUUUGAAAUACUUGCACACAAACCACGCAAAAGCGUUCCUGGAAAUCUCAGCCUAAAAAAGGACGUUUAGUAAUUCAAAAAGGGACUACAAAAUGAAAAACAAUAGUUUUGGCAGUUAAAGUUUGAGAUUCGAUGGUGCCGUAGAUCCGUUUGGUCAUCAGGUGUUACGAGCCACACCCAUGUCUAGCUAGGAUAGUGUGUUAGGCUCAGGCUAGAGAAGAAACGGGGAACAAACUGAUGAAAGAAUGAUCAUACCGAGGGAAUUCACUCAGAACUAACAAGGAUGAUAACAUGCUCCGACUAGAGCGGUUUAGGAACUGCUGGAAGGCUCUAGGGGAAUAAAGAUGGAAUGACUUCUAAUUUUUAGGUCCGUAUGAUUUGAAAUACUUGCACACAAACCGCAAGAAAGCGUUCCUGGAAAUCUCAGCCCAAAAAAGGACGUUUAGUAAUUCUAAAAGGGACUACAGGAUGAAAAACAAUAGUUCUGGCAGUUAAAGUUUGAGAUUCGAUAAUGCCGUAGAUCUGUUUGGUCAUCAGGUGUAACGAGCCACACCCAUGUCUAGCUAGAGUAGUGUGCUAGGCUCAGACUAGAGAAGAAACGGGGAACAAACUGAUGAAAGAAUGAUUAUACCGAGGGAAUUCACUCAGAACUAACGAGAAUGAUAACGUGCUCCGACUGGAGCGGUUUAGGAACUGCUGGAAGGCUCUAGGGGAAUAAAGAUGGAAUGACUUCAAAUUUUUAGGUCUGUAUGAUUUGAAAUACUUGCACACAAACCGCAAGAAAGCGUUCCUUGAAAUCUCAGCCCAAAAAAGGACGUUUAGUAAUUCUAAAAGGGACUACAGGAUGAAAAACAAUAGUUCUGGCAGUUAAAGUUUGAGAUUCGAUAAUGUCGUAGAUCCGUUUGGUCAUCAGGUGUAACGAGCCACACCCAUGUCUAGCUAGAGUAGUGUGCUAGGCUCAGAAUAGAGAAGAAACGGGGAACAAACUGAUGAAAGAAUGAUCAUACCGAGGGAAUUCACUCAGAACUAACAAGAAUGAUAACGUGCUCCGACUGGAGCGGUUUAGGAACUGCUGGAAGGCUCUAGGGGAAUAAAGAAGGAAUGACUUCUAAUUUUUAGGUCCGUAUGAUUUGAAAUACGUGCACACAAACCGCGCGAAAGCGUUCCUGGAAAUCUCAGCCAAAAAAAGGACGUUUAGUAUUCUAAAAGGGACUACAGAAUGAAAAACAAUAGUUUUGGCAGUUAAAGUUUGAGAUUCGACGGUGCUGUAGAUCCGUUUGGUCAUCAGGUGUUACGAGCCACACCCAUGUCUAGCUAGAAUAGUGUGCUAGGCUCAGGCUAGAGAAGAAAAGGGGAACAAACUAAUGAAAGAAUGAUCAAUCCGAGGGAAUUCACUCAGAACUAACAAUAAUGAUAACGUGCUCCGACUGGAGCGGUUUAGGAACUGCUGGAAGGCUCUAGGCGAAUAAAGAUGGAAUGACUUCUAAUUUUUACGUCCGUAUGAUUUGAAAUACUUGCACACAAACCACGCAAAAGCGUUCCUGGAAGUCUCGGCCUAAAAAGGACGUUUAGUAAUUCUAAAAGGGACUACAGGAUGAAAAAUAAUAGUUUGGGCAGUUAAAAUUUGAGAUUCGACGGUGCCGUAGAUCCAUUUGGUCAUCAAGUGUUACGAGCCACACCCAUGUCUAGCUAGAAUAGUGUGUUAGGCUCAGGCUAGAGAAGAAACGGGGAACAAACUGAUGAAAGAAUGAUCAUACCAAGGGAAUUCACUCAGAACUAACAAGAAUGAUAACGUGCUCCGACUGGAGCAGUUUAGAAACUGCUGGAAGGCUCUUGGGGAAUAAAGAUGGAAUGACUUCAAAUUUUUAGGUCCGUAUGAUUUGAAAUACUUGCACACAAACCACGCGAAAGCGUUCCUGGAAAUCUCAGCCCAAAAAAGGACGUUUAGUAAUUCUAAAAGGGACUACAUGAUGAAAAACAAUAGUUUUGGCAGUUAAAGUUUGAGAAUCGUCGGUGCCGUAGAUCCGUUUGGUCAUCAGCUGUAACGAGCCACACCCAUGUCUAGCUAGAGUAGUGUGCUAGGCUCAGACUAGAGAAGAAACAGGGAACAAAGUGAUGAAAGAAUGAUCAUACCGAGGGAAUUCACUUAGAACUAACAAGAAUGAUAACAUGCUCCGACUUGAGCGAUUUAGGAACUUCUGGAAGGCUCUAGGGGAAUAAAGAUGGAAUGACUCAAAUUUUUAGGCCCGUAUGAUUUGAAAUACAUGCACACAAACCGCGAGAAAGUGUUCCUGGAAAUCUUAGCCCAAAAAAGGACGUUUAGUAAUUCUAAAAGGGACUACAGGAUGAAAAACAAUAGUUUUGGUAGUUAAAGUUUCAGAUUCGAUAAUGCCCUAGAUCCGUUUGGUCAUCAGGUGUAACGAGCCACACCAAUGUCUAGCUAGAGUAGUGUGCUAGGCUCAGACUAGAUAAGAAACGGGGAAGAAACUGAUGAAAGAAUGAUCAGACCGAGGGAAUUCACUCAGAACUAACAAUAAUGAUAACGUGCUCCGAGUGGAGCGGUUUAGGAACUGCUGGAAGGCUCUAGGGGAAUAAAGAUGGAAUGACUUCUAAUUUUUAGGUCCGUAUGAUUUGAAAUACGUGCACACAAACCCCGAGAAACCGUUCCUUGAAAUCUCGGCCCAAAAAAGGACGUUUAGUAAUUCUAAAAGGGACUACAAAAUGAAAAACAAUAGUUUUGGCAGUUAAAGUUUGAGAUUCGACGGUGUCGUAGACCCGUUUGGUCUUCAGGUGUUACGAGCCACACCCAUGUCUAGCCAGAGUAGUGUGCUAGGUUCAGACUAGAGAAGAAACGGGGAACAAAGUGAUGAAAGAAUGAUCAUACCGAGGGAAUUCACUCAGAACUAACAAGAAUGAUAACGUGCUCCGACUGGAGCGGGUUAGGAACUCCUGGAAGGCUCUAGGGGAAUAAAGAUGGAAUGACUUCUAAUUUUUACGUCCGUAUGAUUUGAAAUACUUGCACACAAACCACGCAAAAGCGUUCCUGGAAAUCUCAGCCUAAAAAAGGACGUUUAGUAAUUCUAAAAGGGACUACAGGAUGAAAAAUAAUAGUUUGGUCAUCAGGUGUUACGAGCCACACCCAUGUCUAGCUAGAAUAGUGUGCUAGGCUCAGGCUAGAGAAGAAACGGGGAAUAAACUGAUGAAAGAAUGAUCAAACCGAGGGAAUUCACUCAGAACUAACAAUAAUGAUAACGUUCUCCGUCUGGAGCGGUUUAGGAACUGCUGGAAGGCUCUAGGGGAAUAAAGAUGGAAUGACUUCUAAUUUUUAGGUCCGUAUGAUACGAAAUACUUGCACACAAACCGCGCGAAAUCGUUCCUGGAAAUCUCAGCCCAAAAAAGGACGUUUAGUAAUUCUAAAAGGGACUACAGCAUGAAAAACAAUAGUUCUGGCAGUUAAAGUUUGAGAUUCGAUAAUGCCGUAGAUCCGUUUGGUCAUCAGGUGUAACGAGCCACACCCAUGUCUAGCUAGAGUAGUAUGCUAGGCUCAGACUAGAGAAGAAACGGGGAACAAACUGAUGAAAGAAUGAUUAUACCGAGGGAAUUCACUCAGAACUAACAAGAAUGAUAACGUGCUCCGGCUGGAGCGGUUUAGGAACUGCUAGAAGGCUCUAGGGGAAUAAAGAUGGAAUGACUUCAAAUUUUUAGGUCUGUAUGAUUUGAAAUACUUGCACACAAACCGCAAGAAAGCGUUCCUGGAAAUCUCAGCCCAAAAAAGGACGUUUAGUAAUUCUAAAAGGGACUAUAGGAUGAAAAACAAUAGUUCUGGUAGUUAAAGUUUGAGAUUCGAUAAUGUCAUAGAUCCGUUCGGUCAUCAGGUGUAACGAGCCACACCCAUGUCUAGCUAGAGUAGUGUGCUAGGCUCAGACUAGAGAAGAAACGGGGAACAAACUGAUGAAAGAAUGAUCAUACCGAGGGAAUUCACUCAGAACUAACAAGAAUGAUAACGUGCUCCGACUGGAGCGGUUUAGGAACUGCUGGAAGGCUCUAGGGGAAGAAAGAAGGAAUGACUUCUAAUUUUUAGGUCCGUAUGAUUUGAAAUACGUGCACACAAACCGCGCGAAAGCGUUCCUGGAAAUCUCAGCCCAAAAAAGGACGUUUAGUAUUCUAAAAGGGACUACAGAAUGAAAAACAAUAGUUUUGGCAGUUAAAGUUUGAGAUUCGACGGUGCCGUAGAUCCGUUUGGUCAUCAGGUGUUACGAGCCACACCCAUGUCUAGCUAGAAUAGUGUGCUAGGCUCAGGCUAGAGAAGAAAAGGGGAACAAACUGAUGAAAGAAUGAUCAAACCGAGGGAAUUCACUCAGAACUAACAAUAAUGAUAACGUGCUCCGACUGGAGCGGUUUAGGAACUGCUGGAAGGCUCUUGGCGAAUAAAGAUGGAAUGACUUCUAAUUUUUACGUCCGUAUGAUUUGAAAUACUUCCACACAAACCAGGCAAAGGCGUUCCUGGAAAUCUCGGCCUAAAAAGGACGUUUAGUAAUUCUAAAAGGGACUACAGGAUGAAAAAUAAUAGUUUGGGCAGUUAAAAUUUUAGAUUCGACGGUGCCGUAGAUCCGUUUGGUCAUCAGGUGUUACGAGCCACACCCAUGUCUAGCUAGAAUAGUGUGUUAGGCUCAGGCUAGAGAAGAAACGGGGAACAAACUGAUGAAAGAAUGAUCAUACCAAGGGAAUUCACUCAGAACUAACAAGAAUGAUAACGUGCUCCGACUGGAGCAGUUUAGAAACUACUGGAAGGCUCUAGGGGAAUAAAGAUGGAAUGACUUCAAAUUUUUAGGUCCGUAUGAUUUGAAAUACUUGCACACAAACCGCGCGAAAGCGUUCCUGGAAAUCUCAGCCCAAAAAAGGACGUUUAGUAAUUCUAAAAGGGACUACAUGAUGAAAAACAAUAGUUUUGGCAGUUAAAGUUUGAGAUUCGUCGGUGCCGUAGAUCCGUUUGGUCAUCAGCUGUAACGAGCCACACCCAUUUCUAGCUAGAGUAGUGUGCUAGGCUCAGACUAAAGAAGAAAUGGGGAACAAAGUGAUGAAAGAAUGCUCAUACCGAGGGAAUUCACUCAGAACUAACAAGAAUGAUAACAUGCUCCGACUUGAGCGAUUUAGGAACUUCUGGAAGGCUCUAGGGGAAUAAAGAUGGAAUGACUCAAAUUUUUAGGUCCGUAUGAUUUGAAAUACUUGCACACAAACCGCGAGAAAGCGUUCCUGGAAAUCUCAGCCCAAAAAAGGACGUUUAGUAAUUCUAAAAGGGACUACAUGAUGAAAAACAAUAGUUUUGGCAGUUAAAGUUUGAGAUUUGAUAAUGCCGUAGAUCCGUUUGGUCAUCAGGUGUAACGAGCCACACCCAUGUCUAGCUAGAGUAGUGUGCUAGGCUAAGACUAGAUAAGAAAAGGGGAAGAAACUUAUGAAAGAAUGAUCAGACCGAGGGAAUUCACUCAGAACUAACAAUAAUGAUAACGUGCUCCGACUGGAGCGGUUUAGGAACUGCUGGAAGGCUCUAGGGGAAUAAAGAUGGAAUGACUUCUAAUUUUUAGGUCCGUAUGAUUUGAAAUACGUGCACACAAACCCCGAGAAACCGUUCCUGGAAAUCUCGGCCCAAAAAAGGAUGUUUAGUAAUUCUAAAAGGGACUACAAAAUGAAAAACAAUAGUUUUGGCAGUUAAAGUUUGAGAUUUGAUGGUGCCGUAGAUCUGUUUGGUCAUCAGGUGUUACGAGCCACACCCAUGUCUAGCUAGAAUAGUGUGUUAGGCUCAGGCUAGAAAAGAAACGGGAAACAAAGUGAUGAAAGAAUGAUCAUACCGAGGGAAUUCACUCAGAACUAACAAGAAUGAUAACAUGCUCUGACUGGAGCGGUUUAGGAACUGCUGGAAGGCUCUAGGGGAAUAAAGAUGGAAUGACUUCUAAUGUUUAGGUCCGUAUGAUUUGAAAUACUUGCACAUAAACCGCGCAAAAGCGUUCCUGGAAAUCUCAGCCCAAAAAAGGACGUUUAGUAAUUCUAAAAGGGACUACAGGAUGAAAAACAAUAGUUUUGGCAGUUAAAGUUUGAGAUUCGACGGUGCCGUAGAUCCGUUUGUUCAUCAGGUGUUACGAGCCACACCCAUGUCUAGCUAGAAUAGUGUGUUAGGCUCAGGCUAGAGAAGAAACGGGGAACAAACUGAUGAAAGAAUGAUCAAACCGAGGGAAUUCACUCAGAACUAACAAUAAUGAUAACGUGCUCCGACUAGAGCGGUUUAGGAACUGCUGGAAGGCUCUAGGGGAAUAAAGAUGGAAUGACUUCUAAUUUUUAGGUCUGUAUGAUUUGAAAUACUUGCACGCAAACCGCGCGAAAGCGUUCCCGGAAAUAUCAGCCUAAAGAAGGACGUUUAGUAAUUCUAAAAGGGACUACAGGAUGAAAAACAAUAGUUUUGGCAGUUAAAGUUUGAGAUUCAACGGUGCCGUAGAUCCGUUUGGUCAUCAGGUGUUACGAGCCACACCCAUGUCUAGCUAGAGUAGUGUGCUAGGCUCAGGCUAGAGAAGAAACAGGGAACAAACUGAUGAAAGAAUGAUCAUACCGAGGGAAUUCACUCAGAACUGAUGAAAGAAUGAUCAAACCAAGGAAAUUCACUCAGAACUAACAAUAAUGAUAACAUGCUCCGACUGGAGCGGUUUAGGAACUGCUGGAAGGCUCUAGGGGAAUAAAGAUGGAAUGACUUCUAAUUUUUAGGUCCGUAUGAUUUGAAAUACGUGCACACAAACCCCGAGAAACCGUUCCUGGAAAUCUCGGCCCAAAAAAGGACGUUUAGUAAUUCUAAAAGGGACAACAAAAUGAAAAACAAUAGUUUUGGCAGUUAAAGUUUGAGAUUCGACGGUGCCGUAGACCCGUUUGGUCAUCAGGUGUUACGAGCCACACCCAUGUCUAGCUAGAGUAGUGUGCUAGGUUCAGACUAGAGAAGAAACGGGGAACAAAGUGAUGAAAGAAUGAUCAUACCGAGGGAAUUCACUCAGAACUAACAAGAAUGAUAACGUGCUCCGACUGGAGCGGGUUAGGAAUUGCUGGAAGGCUCUAGGGGAAUAAAGAUAGAAUGACUUCUAAUUUUUACGUCCGUAUGAUUUGAAAUACUUGCACACAAACCACGCAAAAGCGUUCCUAGAAAUCUCAGCCUAAAAAAGGACGUUUAGUAAUUCUAAAAGGGACUACAGGAUGAAAAAUAAUAGUUUGGCCAGUUAAAAUUUAAGAUUCGACGGUGCCGUAGAUCCGCUUGGUCAUCAGGUGUUACGAGCCACACCCAUGUCUAGCUAGAAUAGUGUGUUAGGCUCAGGCUAGAGAAGAAACGGGGAACAAACUGAUGAAAGAAUGAUCAUACCGAGGGAAUUCACUCAGAACUAACAAGAAUGAUAACAUGCUCCGACUGGAGCGGUUUAGGAACUGCUGGAAGGCUCUAGGGGAAUAAAGAUGGAAUGACUUCUAAUUUUUAGGUCCGUAUGAUUUGAAAUACUUGCACACAAACCGCAAGAAAGCGUUCCUGGAAAUCUCAGCACAAAAAAGGACGUUUAGUAAUUCUAAAAGGGACUACAGCAUGAAAAACAAUAGUUCUGGCAGUUAAAGUUUGAGAUUCGAUAAUGCCGUAGAUCCGUUUGGUCAUCAGGUGUAACGAGCCACACCCAUGUCUAGCUAGAGUAGUGUGCUAGGCUCAGACUAGAGAAGAAACGGGGAACAAAAUGAUGAAAGAAUGAUUAUACCGAGGGAAUUCACUCAGAACUAACAAGAAUGAUAACGUGCUCCGACUGGAGCGGUUUAGGAACUGCUGGAAGGCUCUAGGGGAAUAAAGAUGGAAUGACUUCAAAUUUUUAGGUCUGUAUGAUUUGAAAUACUUGCACACAAACCGCAAGAAAGCGUUCCUGGAAAUCUCAGCCCAAAAAUGGACGUUUAGUAAUUCUAAAAGGGACUAUAGGAUGAAAAACAAUAGUUCUGGCAGUUAAAGUUUGAGAUUCGAUAAUGUCGUAGAUCCGUUCGGUCAUCAGGUGUAACGAGCCACACCCAUGUCUAGCUAGAGUAGUGUGCUAGGCUCAGACUAGAGAAGAAACGGGGAACAAACUGAUGAAAGAAUGAUCAUACCGAGGGAAUUCACUCAGAACUAACAAGAAUGAUAACGUGCUCCGACUGGAGCGGUUUAGGAACUGCUGGAAGGCUCUAGGGGAAGAAAGAAGGAAUGACUUCUAAUUUUUAGGUCCGUAUGAUUUGAAAUACGUGCACACAAACCGCGCGAAAGCGUUCCUGGAAAUCUCAGCCCAAAAAAGGACGUUUAGUAUUCUAAAAGGGACUACAGAAUGAAAAACAAUAGUUUUGGCAGUUAAAGUUUGAGAUUCGACGGUGCCGUAGAUCCGUUUGGUCAUCAGGUGUUACGAGCCACACCCAUGUCUAGCUAGAAUAGUGUGCCAGGCUCAGGCUAGAGAAGAAAAGGGGAACAAACUGAUGAAAGAAUGAUCAAACCGAGGGAUUUCACUCAGAACUAACAAUAAUGAUAACGUGCUCCGACUGGAGCGGUUUAGGAACUGCUGGAAGGCUCUAGGCGAAUAAAGAUGGAAUGACUUCUAAUUUUUACGUCCGUAUGAUUUUAAAUACUUGCACACAAACCACGCAAAAGCGUUCCUGGAAAUCUCGGCCUAAAAAGGACGUUUAGUAAUUCUAAAAGGGACUACAGGAUGAAAAAUAAUAGUUUGGGCAGUUAAAAUUUGAGAUUCGACGGUGCCGUAGAUCCGUUUGGUCAUCAGGUGUUACGAGCCACACCCAUGUCUAGCUAGAAUAGUGUGUUAGGCUCAGGCUAGAGAAGAAACAGGGAACAAACUGAUGAAAGAAUGAUCAUACCAAGGGAAUUCACUCAGAACUAACAAGAAUGAUAACGUGCUCCGACUGGAGCAGUUUAGAAACUGCUGGAAGGCUCUAGGGGAAUAAAGAUGGGAUGACUUCAAAUUUUUAGGUCCGUAUGAUUUGAAAUACUUGCACACAAACCGCGCGAAAGCGUUCCUGGAAAUCGCAGCCCAAAAAAGGACGUUUAGUAAUUCUAAAAGGGACUACAUGAUGAAAAACAAUAGUUUUGGCAGUUAAAGUUUGAGAUUCGUCGGUGCCGUAGAUCCGUUUGGUCAUCAGCUGUAACGAGCCACACCCAUGUCUAGCUAGAGUAGUGUGCUAGGCUCAGACUAGAGAAGAAAUGGGGAAAAAAGUGAUGAAAGAAUGAUCAUACCGAGGGAAUUCACUCAGAACUAACAAGAAUGAUAACAUGCUCCGACAUGAGCGAUUUAGGAACUUCUGGAAGGCUCUAGGGGAAUAAAGAUGGAAUGACUCAAAUUUUUAGGUCCGUAUGAUUUGAAAUACUUGCACACAAACCGCGAGAAAGCGUUCCUGGAAAUCUCAGCCCAAAAAAGGACAUUUAGUAAUUCUAAAAGGGACUACAGGAUGAAAAACAAUAGUUUUGGCAGUUAAAGUUUGAGAUUUGAUAAUGCCGUAGAUCCGUUUGGUCAUCAGGUGUAACGAGCCACACCCAUGUCUAGCUAGAGUAGUGUGCUAGGCUAAGACUAGAUAAGAAACCGGGAAGAAACUAAUGAAAGAAUGAUCAGACCGAGGGAAUUCACUCAGAACUAACAAUAAUGAUAACGUGCUCCGACUGGAGCGGUUUAGGAACUGCUGGAAGGCUCUAGGGGAAUAAAGAUGAAAUGACUUCUAAUUUUUAGGUUCGUAUGAUUUGAAAUACAUGCACACAAACCCCGAGAAACCGUUCCUGGAAAUCUCGGCCCAAAAAAGGAUGUUUAGUAAUUCUAAAAGGGACUACAAAAUGAAAAACAAUAGUUUUGGUAGUUAAAGUUUGAGAUUUGAUGGUGCCAUAGAUCUGUUUGGUCAUCAGGUGUUACGAGCCACACCCAUGUCUAGCUAGAAUAGUGUGUUAGGCUCAGGCUAGAAAAGAAACGGGAAACAAAGUGAUGAAAGAAUGAUCAUACCGAGGGAAUUCACUCAGAACUAACAAGAAUGAUAACAUGCUCUGACUGGAGCGGUUUAGGAACUGCUGGAAGGCUCUAGGGGAAUAAAGAUGGAAUGACUUCUAAUGUUUAGGUCCGAGGUCCGUAUGAUUUGAAAUACUUGCACAUAAACCGUGCAAAAGCGUUCCUGGAAAUCUCAGCCCAAAAAAGGACGUUUAGUAAUUCUAAAAGGGACUACAGGAUGAAAAACAAUAGUUUUGGCAGUUAAAGUUUGAGAUUCGACGGUGCCGUAGAUCCGUUCGUUCAUCAGGUGUUACGAGCCACACCCAUGUCUAGCUAGAAUAGUGUGUUAGGCUCAGGCUAGAGAAGAAACGGGGAACAAACUGAUGAAAGAAUGAUCAAACCGAGGGAAUUCACUCAGAACUAACAAUAAUGAUAACGUGCUCCGACUAGAGCGGUUUAGGAACUGCUGGAAGGCUCUAGGGGAAUAAAGAUGGAAUGACUUCUAAUUUUUAGGUCUGUAUGAUUUGAAAUACUUGCACGCAAACCGCGCGAAAGCGUUCCCGGAAAUAUCAGCCCAAAAAAGGACGUUUAGUAAUUCUAAAAGGGACUACAGGAUGAAAAACAAUAGUUUUGGCAGUUAAAGUUUGAGAUUCAACGGUGCCGUAGAUCCGUUUGGUCAUCAGGUGUUACGAGCCACACCCAUGUCUAGCUAGAGUAGUGUGCUAGGCUCAGGCUAGAGAAGAAACAGGGAACAAACUGAUGAAAGAAUGAUCAUACCGAGGGAAUUCACUCAGAACUGAUGAAAGAAUGAUCAAACCGAGGAAAUUCACUCAGAACUAACAAUAAUGAUAACAUGCUCCGACUGGAGCGGUUUAGGAACUGCUGGAAGGCUCUAGGGGAAUAAAGAUGGAAUGACUUCUAAUUUUUAGGUCCGUAUGAUUUGAAAUACGGGCACACAAACCCCGAGAAACCGUUCCUGGAAAUCUCGGCCCGAAAAAGGACGUUUAGUAAUUCUAAAAGGGACUACAAAAUGAAAAACAAUAGUUUUGGCAGUUAAAGUUUGAGAUUCGACGGUGCCGUAGACCCGUUCGGUCAUCAGGUGUAACGAGCCACACCCAUGUCUAGCUAGAGUAGUGUGCUAGGCUCAGACUAGAGAAGAAACGGGGAACAAACUGAUGAAAGAAUGAUCAUACCGAGGGAAUUCACUCAGAACUAACAAGAAUGAUAACGUGCUCCGACUGGAGCGGUUUAGGAACUGCUAGAAGGCUCUAGGGGAAGAAAGAAGGAAUGACUUCUAAUUUUUAGGUCUGUAUGAUUUGAAAUACGUGCACACAAACCGCGCGAAAGCGUUCCUGGAAAUCUCAGCCCAAAAAAGGACGUUUAGUAUUCUAAAAGGGACUACAGAAUGAAAAACAAUAGUUUUAGCAGUUAAAGUUUGAGAUUCGACGGUGCCGUAGAUCCGUCUGGUCAUCAGGUGUUACGAGCCACACCCAUGUCUAGCUAGAAUAGUGUGCUAGGCUCAGGCUAGAGAAGAAAAGGGGAACAAACUGAUGAAAGAAUGAUCAAACCGAGGGAAUUCACUCAGAACUAACAAUAAUGAUAACGUGCUCCGACUGGAGCGGUUUAGGAACUGCUGGAAGGCUCUAGGCGAAUAAAGAUGGAAUGACUUCUAAUUUUUACGUCCGUAUGAUUUGAAAUACUUGCACACAAACCACGCAAAAGCGUUCCUGGAAAUCUCGGCCUAAAAAGGACGUUUAGUAAUUCUAAAAGGGACUACAGGAUGAAAAAUAAUAGUUUGGGCAGUUAAAAUUUGAGAUUCGACGGUGCCGUAGAUCCGUUUGGUCAUCAGGUGUUACGAGCCACACCCAUCUCUAGCUAGAAUAGUGUGUUAGGCUCAGGCUAGAGAAGAAACGGGGAACAAACUGAUGAAAGAAUGAUCAUACCAAGGGAAUUCACUCAGAACUAACAAGAAUGAUAACGUGCUCCGACUGGAGCAGUUUAGAAACUCCUGGAAGGCUCUAGGGGAGUAAAGAUGGAAUGACUUCAAAUUUUUAGGUCCGUAUGAUUUGAAAUACUUGCACACAAACCGCGCGAAAGCGUUCCUGGAAAUCUCAGCCCAAAAAAGGACGUUUAGUAAUUCUAAAAGGGACUACAUGAUGAAAAACAAUAGUUUUGGCAGUUAAAGUUUGAGAUUCGUCGGUGCCGUAGAUCCGUUUGGUCAUCAGCUGUAACGAGCCACACCCAUGUCUAGCUAGAGUAGUGUGCUAGGCUCAGACUAGAGAAGAAAUGGGGAACAAAGUGAUGAAAGAAUGAUCAUACCGAGGGAAUUCACUCAGAACUAACAAGAAUGAUAACAUGCUCCGACUUGAGCGAUUUAGGAACUUCUGGAAGGCUCUAGGGGAAUAAAGAUGGAAUGACUCAAAUUUUUAGGUCCGUAUGAUUUGAAAUACUUGCACACAAACCGCGAGAAAGCGUUCCUGGAAAUCUCAGCCCAAAAAAGGACGUUUAGUAAUUCUAAAAGGGACUACAGGAUGAAAAACAAUAGUUUUGGCAGUUAAAGUUUGAGAUUCGAUAAUGUCGUAGAUCCGUUUGGUCAUCAGGUGUAACGAGCCACACCCAUGCCUAGCUAGAGUAGUGUGCUAGGCUAAGACUAGAUAAGAAACGGGGAAGAAACUGAUGAAAGAAUGAUCAGACCGAGGGAAUUCACUCAGAACUAACAAUAAUGAUAACGUGCUCCGACUGGAGCGGUUUAGGAACUGCUAGAAGGCUCUAGGGGAAUAAAGAUGGAAUGACUUCUAAUUUUUAGGUCCGUAUGAUUUGAAAUACGUGCACACAAACCCCGAGAAACCGUUCCUGGAAAUCUCGGCCCAAAAAAGUAUGUUUAGUAAUUCUAAAAGGGACUACAAAAUGAAAAACAAUAGUUUUGGCAGUUAAAGUUUGAGAUUUGAUGGUGCCGUAGAUCUGUUAGGUCAUCAGGUGUUACGAGCCACACCCAUGUCUAGCUAGAAUAGUGUGUUAGGCUCAGGCUAGAAAAGAAAC